CAGCAGCCGCGGUAAUACGAAGGGUGCAAGCGUUACUCGGAAUUACUGGGCGUAAAGCGUGCGUAGGUGGUGGUUUAAGUCCGUUGUGAAAGCCCUGGGCUCAACCUGGGAAUUGCAGUGGAUACUGGGUCACUAGAGUGUGGUAGAGGAUAGUGGAAUUUCCGGUGUAGCAGUGAAAUGCGUAGAGAUCGGAAGGAACAUCUGUGGCGAAGGCGACUAUCUGGGCCAACACUGACACUGAGGCACGAAAGCGUGGGGAGCAAACAGGAUUAGAUACCCCCGUAGUCCCUGUCUCUUAUCC
rnacentral:rRNA from 1 species